rnacentral:rRNA from 1 species
AUUGAACGCUGGCGGAAUGCUUUACACAUGCAAGUCGAACGGCAGCACGGGGCAACCUGGUGGCGAGUGGCGAACGGGUGAGUAAUACAUCGGAACGUGCCCAAUCGUGGGGGAUAACGUAGCGAAAGUUACGCUAAUACCGCAUACGAUCUACGGAUGAAAGCGGGGGAUCGCAAGACCUCGCGCGAGUGGAGCGGCCGAUGUCAGAUUAGGUAGUUGGUGGUGUAAAGGCUCACCAAGCCAACGAUCUGUAGCUGGUCUGAGAGGACGACCAGCCACACUGGAACUGAGACACGGUCCAGACUCCUACGGGAGGCAGCAGUGGGGAAUUUUGGACAAUGGCGCAAGCCUGAUCCAGCCAUUCCGCGUGCCAGGA